UACGGAGGGGGCUAGCGUUGUUCGGAAUUACUGGGCGUAAAGCGCACGUAGGCGGCUUUGUAAGUUAGAGGUGAAAGCCCAGGGCUCAACCCUGGAAUUGCCUUUAAGACUGCAUCGCUUGAACAUCGGAGAGGUAAGUGGAAUUCCGAGUGUAGAGGUGAAAUUCGUAGAUAUUCGGAAGAACACCAGUGGCGAAGGCGACUUACUGGACGAUUGUUGACGCUGAGGCACGAAGGUCAGGGGAGCAAACGGG
rnacentral:rRNA from 1 species